GCCGGGGUGCCCUAGCCUGGUAGGGGGCUGGCCUGCUAAGCCAGUGGCCGACAAGGCCUCGCGGGUUCAAAUCCCGCUCCCGGCGCCA
rnacentral:tRNA from 1 species